ensembl:lncRNA
ACCUUUGAGGGGGUGGGGACCCCCCAGUAGCUCAUUGAACACCAUCUUCUCCUAGCUCUGUGCUUCCCUCCACCUGGGGCCUCUGGGGGUAAUGUUGGGUCAGGGAGGAGGCAGGCUGCCUUGUUUCAGGGCAGGACCAGCUGCAAAAUUUACUGGCCCAGAAUGAAAUGAAAAUGUGGAACUGCGUGAUCAAAAAUUGUUAAGAACUUCAAGGUGGUGCUAGCAGAGCAUUAAACCAAGUGCAGAUCCCUUCUGAGUGCAGGCCUCUGUCAGUAAACAAGUUGCAUGUCCACGAAGCUGGCAUGGUCAGGGUGCAUUUAACCAACAUUUCCUAAACACCCACUGCUCUGUUCCACUGCCCUUGUGGCUCUGCCACCUCAGAGAUCCCCUCUCAGUCACUCCUGUUCUCAAAUGUACAAAGAUGAGGUGCUCAAAGACCCCUCUCUGAACACGGAAGGGAGGCUGGGCCACCUCCCACCCCUUGCUGACUUGGACUCUCCAAGAACACUGCAGCGAGAGUUCCACCCCCUUCUCCGAGCUCCACCCUCCACUACUACCCUCAGAGGGUCUUUGGGGAUUACCCAGUAUGGGGAUGACAAUGAGGAAUUUCCUUUUAAAGAGAACCACAGCCUCUCAGAGCUGCCCUGGACAAUUCUCCAGCCCACAGAAAGAAAUGGAAGCCCUAAAAUGUGAUAGACAUCUCCAAACACACAAGCUGUGUGAUCUCAGGGAAAUACCUUCACCUCUCUGAGCCUCAGGAUCCUCAUCUCCAGUGUAAAGAUGACAAUGCUUAUUAUUCCUUACACU